rnacentral:rRNA from 1 species
CCCGCACAAGCGGUGGGGCAUGUGGUUUAAUUCGAUGCAACGCGAAGAACCUUACCUGGGCUUGACAUCCCGGGAAUCCCUUGGAAACAAGGGAGUGCCCUUCGGGGAACCUGGAGACAGGUGCUGCAUGGCUGUCGUCAGCUCGUGUCGUGAGAUGUAGGGUUAAGUCCCGCAACGAGCGCAACCCUUGUCUUUAAUUGCCAUCAUUGAGUUGGGCACUUUAAAGAGACUGCCGGUGUUAAACCGGAGGAAGGUGGGGAUGACGUCAAGUCCUCAUGGCCUUUAUGCCCAGGGCUACACACGUGCUGCAAUGAGUGGUACAAAGAGCAGCCAGCUCGCGAGAGUGAGCAAAUCUCAAAAAGCCAUCCUCAGUUCGGAUUGAGGGCUGCAACUCGCCCUCAUGAAGCUGGAAUCCGUAGUAAUCGCGUUUCAACAGAACGCGGUGAAUACGUCCCUGCUCCUU